rnacentral:lncRNA from 1 species
CUUGUUCUACAGAGUGAUAAACUCCCAAUCAUCAAUUUAUUUGCUUCUCCAGAUUGGUGGAAUUUGUGUCUUGCCGAUUAUCUGUGAUUGGAAACGAAAAUGUCUACCAUCAAUACGAACAAUUCUUAGCAACUUUGGAUAUUUGACAGCAGUUUCAAUAUUGAAUUAGAACAAUUAUUAAAGGCUAUUGAAGAACAUACCACAUGAAACAGAGAGACUAAUUUGCAAGAAGGAUGAACCGACGAAACUGCAAGAUUAUGAACUUUCAGUAAAAGAUCGAAAAAGCCAUUGCUUAAUAGUAAAUUAAGUUGCAGAUAUAGAGUAACUUAAAUCAUAUGCAGGCAAUUAAAUUAUACUUGUAAAAAGUUCUUCGUUCUUUUAUGCACAUAAAAGAUACAUAAAACAACCUAGGUCAAAAUAAAAUAAAAUUAUACAUAUAUACUGUACAAACAAAAAAACCUUCUGUUCUCUCUAAUUAAACAUAUAUAUUGUUGCUUUGUUCUCCUCGUUUUGACCUCUCAAAAUAUCUCUGGGUAAACAACCCUCCGAUGGAAUAUAGAGUCCCAAUACAUCAAAGAAAUGCAAUUACAUACACAUUUAAAUCGGAUCUUCUUCCACCUUCUAAACACACUUCACAAACAUCUAAAAAUUGGAAUGAAGGAAGAAAUAAAGAGCUUACCGUAAAUGAUAUGCAGUAGCAGAUGUUGGCGUUGCUCUCAAUCGAAUAGGGUUCACUACAACUCCGACAAAAUUUUGGGCCGGUAAUCGGAGGGCUUAUUUUCCAAAGGCAACAACGAGAAAAAAUUCAGUGGGAGUUUCUCUAAUUUGUUGAUACAGGGUAACUAGGUUUUGGACGAAGAGAGGGAAAU